AAAGACAUAUGUAACUAUUCAGUAUUGAUACUUUUUUACAUUUUAAUUGUUUCCCGGACAAAUUUUCAUAUCAUGAUUCGGUUAGUUAAGUAAGGUAGAAAAUUUUAAGUUUUUUUAGUUCCUCAACCAAAUUGUGGUCCAUUUUCAUGGCCACUUUUCUAAGUAAAUAUGAGAGGAAUAUUUUUUACAUGUUCGAUAAUUCAUUUUUUAACAUGACGGUUUUACAAAAAUGGCUCCAGUUCUUUGGUUCGAAUGGUUUUAGACGAUUC
rnacentral:lncRNA from 1 species